UCCACAGGUCUGACUCCAGCGGGUACAGAGCCACUCGGUGGAUAGAAGCAGAGCACUAAUAAGUCAUGUCUGGGAACCUUUCAUUUUCCAUUCAUUCAUCAAGUGGCUACCUGGAGCCAGGUGAUCCAGAGCUGCCUGUCUUAAGAAGAGAACACUCCCAUGCAAGCUAUCUGAGUCUUCCAUCUCUUCAUCACUUGUAGAAUUUCUUUUGUUUCUGCUGAGUGCCCUGUCUCAUGUUCAGAUUCUCUCUGAUAGGAUUU
rnacentral:lncRNA from 1 species